rnacentral:rRNA from 1 species
AUGGUCACUCGAGCGAAACGCGGUCUCUUUCAGCCCGUCGACCGUCUCAACCUUCAUGUUUCCCACUCGACUCCUUCUCCUAUUCCUAAAACAUACCGGGGAGCACUACAUGACCCGCACUGGCGUCGUGCUAUGAACGAGGAAUUUGAUGCUCUUGUUGCUAACAGGACGUGGUCUUUUGUUCCACGUCCUCCUCGUGCUCAUGUUGUUUCAGGGAAGUGA